GGAAUAUUGCACAAUGGGGGAAACCCUGAUGCAGCGACGCCGCGUGAGCGAAGAAGUAUUUCGGUAUGUAAAGCUCUAUCAGCAGGGAAGAAAAAAUGACGGUACCUGACUAAGAAGCACCGGCUAAAUACGUGCCAGCAGCCGCGGUAAUACGGAUGGUGCAAGCGUUAUCCGGAUUUACUGGGUGUAAAGGGAGCGCAGGCGGUGCGGCAAGUCUGAUGUGAAAGCCCGGGGCUCAACCCCGGUACUGCAUUGGAAACUGUCGUACUAGAGUGUCGGAGGGGUAAGUGGAAUUCCUAGUGUAGCGGUGAAAUGCGUAGAUAUUAGGAGGAACACCAGUGGCGAAGGCGGCUUACUGGACGAUUACUGACGCUGAGGCUCGAAAGCGUGGGGAGCAAACAGGA
rnacentral:misc_RNA from 1 species